AUGAACGCUGGCGGCGUGCCUAAUACCUGCAAGUCGAGCGAACAGACGAGGAGCUUGCUCCUCUGACGUUAGCGGCGGACGGGUGAGUAACACGUGGAUAACCUACCUAUAAGACUGGGAUAACUUCGGGAAACCGGAGCUAAUACCGGAUAAUAUAUUGAACCGCAUGGUUCAAUAGUGAAAGACGGUUUUGCUGUCACUUAUAGAUGGAUCCGCGCCGCAUUAGCUAGUUGGUAAGGUAACGGCUUACCAAGGCAACGAUGCGUAGCCGACCUGAGAGGGUGAUCGGCCACACUGGAACUGGGACACGGUCCAGACUCCUACGGGAGGCAGCAGUAGGGAAUCGUCCGCAAUGGGCGAAAGCCUGACGGAGCAACGCCGCGUGAGUGAUGAAGGUCUUCGGAUCGUAAAACUCUGUUAUUAGGGAAGAACAAAUGUGUAAGUAACUAUGCACGUCUUGACGGUACCUAAUCAGAAAGCCACGGCUAACUACGUG
rnacentral:rRNA from 1 species